GCAGGGUGUCCAGUUAACUGACCUCAGGAUCACAUCUUUGUUUUGUUUUUUUCAGACAGUGUGGUCCUGUUGGCUUCAUCGAGCUGUGAUCUCCAGUGUGCAGUGCUGCAGUUCACAGCCAAGUGGCCGGGAUGAGCAUCUGUACCUCCAAGUGGAAGGUUUCACAGGUGGAUCGUGGAGCCUCCGCAGAUAUGUGGACACUGUACUGGUCUGUCGUCAUGAAGAAAGAGCUGAGUUGGGAGAUGAAUCUGGAUCCAGCCUUUCCACAUGGCUGGCUGGAGCAUCAACGUCGUUGUGCCAGAGCUUCUGUCAGGAACCUGGACGGAUUUGGAGCGAUGGCAAGGCAUGGUGCAGGCAGUUAAAGCUCUUCCAGCCGUCCGGAGCAGCACUUACGGCGAGAGGUACGAUGUUGAGCGACACUCGUGGACGGCAAAAAACACGCCCCUGCCCGCUGGAGCCUCAGCCAGCGCCGAUGUAUGA